UACGUAGGGUGCGAGCGUUGUCCGGAAUUAUUGGGCGUAAAGGGCUCGUAGGCGGUUUGUCGCGUCGGGAGUGAAAACCAUGGGCUUAACUCAUGGCUUGCUUCCGAUACGGGCAGACUAGAGGCAUGCAGGGGAGAACGGAAUUCCUGGUGUAGCGGUGAAAUGCGCAGAUAUCAGGAGGAACACCGGUGGCGAAGGCGGUUCUCUGGGCAUGUCCUGACGCUGAGGAGCGAAAGUGUGGGGAACGAACAGG
rnacentral:rRNA from 1 species